GAUGAACGCUGGCGGCGUGCCUAAUACAUGCAAGUCGAGCGAACGGACGAGAAGCUUGCUUCUCUGAUGUUAGCGGCGGACGGGUGAGUAACACGUGGAUAACCUACCUAUAAGACUGGGAUAACUUCGGGAAACCGGAGCUAAUACCGGAUAAUAUUUUGAACCGCAUGGUUCAAAAGUGAAAGACGGUCUUGCUGUCACUUAUAGAUGGAUCCGCGCUGCAUUAGCUAGUUGGUAAGGUAACGGCUUACCAAGGCAACGAUGCAUAGCCGACCUGAGAGGGUGAUCGGCCACACUGGAACUGAGAAACGGUCCAGACUCAGACGGGAGGCAGCAGUAGGGAAUCUUCCGCAAUGGGCGAAAGCCUGACGGAGCAACGCCGCGUGAGUGAUGAAGGUCUUCGGAUCGUAAAACUCUGUUAUUAGGGAAGAACAUAUGUGUAAGUAACUGUGCACAUCUUGACGGUACAUAAUCAGAAAGCCACGGCUAACUACGUG
rnacentral:rRNA from 1 species